CAGAAUCAUGACACUCGGAUUGCGUCAUUCCAGUUUGAACAUGGAACAAAUAACGGGCUGGGUCUUGAACAAACAAAAGGAUGGAGGCGGAGGCUGGAGGGUGUGUCUGGCACACAGUCGGGAUCAAAGGAGUGAUGGACCUCACAGCCGUGGACCCCGGACUUUCAGAACAGCAUUAAGCUGUAAUGUCCCUGGAGGAGCUAUCCAGACAGAGGAGCUGCAGACCAAGGUUGGGAUGAAUUGGGCUUGUUAUACUCACAACACUGCCCGGGGAGCUAUCCAUGUGACAUAAAUGGGAGCUGCAGUAAGAUUUCCACUGAUCCAUGCAAGUCCCUCUAGAAAGUGGUAACCUUAGAUAGCAAUAACAUUAAGAGCAGUACCGCCUCCUUUAGAGUCUGGAGACAGGACAAACAGCUAUGGCUCCGUGGCUGAGAUAUUUUCUCAACAUGCCAAUCUGUUUCAAUGACAUUUCGAGAGCAACCGAGGCCUGCACACAGAAGAAAUAACCCAGGCUCCUGCGGAUAGCUUCCCCGAGGAACCUCGUAAAGACUGCCAGUUGUGGGAGCGUGAGUGAAAUGCCAGUGGACAUGAGGGGGAUUGUGGGGGAUUUGAUUACCUGUGCCCCAUAGCUGUAGGCGGUAGUGUAUAAUUGUGGUCCAGCAAUCAGAUUUUUACACUACGAAGGUGGAGUGUGAAGACCAGACCAGUCUUAUUUCUGCACCUCCAGGAAACAAUCAAUACCAAAUUAGCCUUUAAUUACCACCCUAUCAAGUAUUCAGCCUUGACUUAUGAUGAGGCGUCAGUCAGUAGUGUGCUGUCUCUCCAUUUAAAAUGGCGUAACCUCCUCCAAAUUGGCAGAAGAUACUUAAUUUCUCCAAAUUAGGGACCGUGGGAAUUGUUUGCUUAAUGAGAAAGUUCUCUUAAAAUUAUGCAUGCACACUCAUACAUGACGUAGCGUCUGCACGAGCAAAAAAAUAAAAAAUAAAAAAGGUGUGAAUUCCCUGAUAGCAAAGCAGCAUGGGAAUGCGAAAGACAGCUAUUGUUAUUGGACUAUAGCUCAGUUGGUAUCAGUAAAAAAUAACUUUGAGAUGCUUAUCAAGGUAAAUGAAUGCAGACCUUUUCCGUGAUAAUUUUUGCAAUGUAUAUUUAGUGUAUCUGGUGCUGAAAAUACUAAUGACCUGUGGUUUGGACUGUUAAGUGAUGCUUUGCCUUUGUACUCCACAAGUUGUUUUGAUAGGAAGAAGACCAAAACAACAAUCUCUAAUUUUAAUUCUCAAAAUGCACAAAUUACCCUCAAAAAUCUGAUUGCUAGCUCUGCUAUCAGUUAUUCCAUCAGUCUCAAAAGUCAUAAGAUUUAUUACAUUCAAAUAGAUUGUAUUCAUUUGUCAUCAUCCUUUGAAUAAGAUAAAACUGACUAACAUUAUUACUGUUAUUAGUCAUAAUCGUGGGCCUUGGGCCACAAGACCAAGAACCUGUACUAUAUCCCCUGAUAUGUGUCCUUCCACAGCACUGAAAAUGGAGUCCAGUCCUAAGAUAGCUAUUGCCACAUACAGUAACAGCACUUGUGCAAGUGGCCACUGCCGAUGGCUUAAGAAAAGAACAUUUCAGACUUGGAAAAACACACAUAUGAAUCCACCAUGAGUAAUAGUUUUUUAAAGGAUCUGAUAAAUUGCGAGUUCUGCCACGCUUGAUGUUGGGCUUGGGUAAUGUGCUCUGCGACCCUCUACAGCGUUACUAUGUGACUAAUCUUUGUUCCCUGAGCAUUACCCCAAACCCUCAUUGAAAAACAUGCAGUGUACAGCUGCAGUCUUGAAUAAUUCAAAGGCGUGUUUCCUAGCACAAAGGGGCAGAGGGCUUGGAGGAGGGGUGAAUGUCAACCUCGCUGGACACUGCAAAAUUCUUUCUUCGAACCUCGUGUUUUUCUUUCGGUGGAAUGGCAUAUCAUCUCAUACAGUACAACCGUUUCCUCUUCCUGGUACUCAUUAGUUAAUCAAUCACGGUUGUAUCCUUUACAGUAACUUAAAAGUUGCAUUUAUCAAGCAACCAGAUUUGUGCUUCCACAGGUUUGCAUCGAGCGAGUAGCCUGGAGACAACGCCGGACUGAAAUUAAAACGUGGCUAUCAGAGGAAAGGCAAGUUUGUCUAAAAGUGGGGGAGUAACGCAGGACACAGGUGAGGCUCGGGUUUUGUCACCAAGAUAAAUCGCCAGCGCAUAAUUAUUCCUCUUUAUCAGCGCGAGGCAGCCGGGCAUGGCGGGAUACCGCUCUGUCCUUGUCACUCCUCAUGAAUGGCACAGCAGAUGUGCUCCGUGCCACUGAGGCCAAAUGGCAGAGGGGCAGGGAAGGUGCCCUUCAGUGAGCAAGAUGCCCACGGUACACACAAUGCCAGCAGCAACGCUGCCACCACAUGAGAGGUCAUGUAACCCCAGCAGCACAUGGGCAGACAUAAAACGCAAAUGGCCACUGGCCACUGGCCACUGGCAGAUCAGUUAUAGAUCUUGCAAUUAACACUGGGGCUAAUAAUACUGUAUGUUGUUAACUAAUUGAAUGGUUUAUGGCUACUAUUAUGGCUUGGUGAAUUAUAUUUCAGAUUGCACUCUAAAAUGUAAACAUUUUAAUUUACCAUUUUAAAUCCUAAAAUAAUAGGUGCUUGUAAUUGCUUGUAAUAGAUUGCUUGUAAUUCUGACCCAGUAAUGUAUUAACUUAUGUUAUAUUCCUCAAAUUGCCUUGGCAUCUGAUGAUUUAAAAAAUCUGUUAUCAUUAAUAAAUAAAGUUUUCCCUUCUGUCAGGUGAAUAAAAUAUUUGCCUUACGAACCCUAAAACUCUUGCAGUUUGUGUAGGAAGGGCAUCAUUGGUGAAUACAUCAAACAGUAAAUUGGACUCUUCUGAAUGUGCAGAUAAAACCUCACCAGUGUCCUUGAUAAAACUGCAUGCUGGGCAAUAUGCUACUUUCGAAGCUUCCAAUCAGGUGCUUGAAUGAAUAUUCAUAAAUCAAGAAUAUAGAGAUCAUCAUAUUUUGCCAUACACAGUGUAGUGUUGUGACACGGUAAUAUUUCAUUGGCAUUUCAAACAUCUAUUGAGAGUUUUUGAUAGCCAGAGGCAUGUUUCAAAUUCUCAAGUUUGUCUUUCAAAUCUCAAGUGAUGGAAAUUAAGUUUAACUGUGAACUGAGAGACUAUGUAAAACUAUGCAAAGCUAAACCUUUUUUAAAGUUUAAUCUUACUAGUAUAUGCACUAUAUCUGGGACAAUAGUAUGGAUGAAACGUAAUGUGGGGAAAAGAGAGAUAAAUAAAUGAUGAAAUUUAAGUUCUUUAAUAUUUUGUUCUGUGAUAAUGCUUAUACUGUAUAUGGAACAUUUUCUCCCUCAAACCACCCAAACUGUCCAAAUUUGACAAGCCAUCUUAUUAGCUCUAAUUGGUCCCCCCUAAUGCAGUGCACUGGGCUGUUAAAUUAGUAAUAUAUGUCAACCAGAGUGAUCCCGCUGUGAGUUCACCUAAGCCAGCAGGACUACCAGUGACCAAGCUUAACUCCUCCAGACCCAAUAUCAUCCUCAAAGGUCACAUUCGUUUCUUAAAGAAAAGGCAGAAAUGGAAAUGGAAAGAAAGAAAUGGGCAGGCAGAUUAUUUUCUGCUCUCUAUGUGGUAGCAGGAGCCCUGCAAUAAUUUAUUCACUAAGUAACGGCAAAUUCAAAUGGCUCUUCUCCUCUCCCUCAGACCGUGUGAUUAAUUUCACACACAGAAUAAAUCUUUGUAGCCGGGCUCCCCUGCAUUUGCCACAUAGCCUUAAAAGGCUAUUUUCCUUUUCCGUGAUUACUCAGUGCACUGGUGGGCUUUUAAUGUACUACUAAUUAAAUGCAUUCUGUAAAUGAAAAAUUCCACUGAGGCAAUGUAUCUUGAUGCAUCUAAUGGCCUGAGUAUUAAUCAGACAAUGAAAAGGAGAUUAUACUUAAUCAGCACUAUCAAAAGCAUACGAAAAAAAACUAUCCUUAUGAAAUAUUAGAUAUUGCGUGAACUUUCUGUGAGCUCAUAUGUUGACUACUCUGUCACUGGGCAAGGUGUCUGUAUUCCGUAAGCAGUGUUUUGUUUUACACUGCCCCCUGUCUGCUAGUAUCGGAAUGCCAAAAAUAUUUGAUGAGUUACUGCUGUACAGUACGUGAGGAUGUGAUGCAGAAGAUUACCAAUAUUAAAUAUUUAAAAUCUGAAAUAAGAUAUGAAUUGAAGCACUGCAUUUACAAUUUAAAAAUGACUGCAUAAAUAAUGUCACAUUUAAAAUAUGUACUUAUUCAUGUAUAGCCUUUCAC